UCAGAAGUUGGAGUAAGGGGUGACGGAGUAGUUGCAGAUUGUGGAGAAGGGGGACCUCCAAGGAAGGAAUUGAUGAAUGUGUGGAAGGACAGUCUCAGUAGACACACAAAGCAACAGCUGGAAGAUUCAGCAGCUCCUCACCUCCAGGGAGAUGGAGGUUGGAGUUAGAUUCCUCCCAGGGUACAUGGACUUAGCAAAUACCAAAAGAUUUUUAUCAGAAUUACAGCAGGGCCAUGCCUUAGCUGUAAAAGCACAGACCCAGGAUAAAAAUAAAUGAUGGUAGUACAGUUCAGCCAAUUGAAUAAAAUAGGAAACCAUGAAUUCAUUUAGAUAUAAAUAAAUAAAUUGAAUGUUUGAUGAUGCUUGGAACGGUUACAUAAUUUCAAACUGCCUCUCCCAAAUUACUUUUUAAUCACAAAGUGAAAUAUGUACUCUUGAUGGUGGAAGAACCAAGGAGACACCACCUUCGUCAAAUGGCCCAAGUCAAUCAUUGAUAAUAGGAUGAAGUGAAGUCACAUACUGCCUGAGAGAGUGCUGCACCAAGGUCACAGUGAUACUUUCAUAAUUCUCCUCCCAGAGUUGCACACCUGAAUACGAUGGUGGCCAUAAGAAGACACACUCAGAUUGUGAGAAGUCUUCAAAAGUGUAAAGAUCAUGAAAGUCAAAGACAGACGGAGAAAUUUCACCAUUUAAAGAAAUAUGUCAACUAAUGUUAACAUUUAGUUCUGAAUUGGAUCAUUUUCUAUAAGGAAAUAAGUGAACAACUUGAGAGACUUGAAUUUAGGACUGAGGAUUAGAUGAUAAUGCUGUAUUUUAAAAAAAUAUUUUUUAGUUGUAGAUGGAUACAAUAAUUUUAUUUUAUUAUUAUAUUUUUAUGUGAC
rnacentral:lncRNA from 1 species